AAAGGAAUAGACGGGGACCCGCACAAGCAGCGGAGCAUGUGGUUUAAUUCGAAGCAACGCGAAAAACCUUACCAAGACUUGACAUUUAGUGCAUAAUCUGGAAACAGAUGAAGUUAUAGCAAUAUAACACUAGGACAGAUGGUGCAUGGUUGUCGUCAGCUCGUGUCGUGAGAUGUUGGGUUAAGUCCCGCAACGAGCGCAACCCUUACCGUUAGUUGCCAUCAUUAAGUUGGGAACUCUAGCGGAACUGCCGUAGAUAAUACGGAGGAAGGUGGGGAUGACGUCAAAUCAUCAUGCCUCUUACGUCUUGGGCUACACACGUGCUACAAUGGCCGCUACAAAGAGACGCAAUAUAGUAAUAUGGAGCAAAUCUCAAAAAAGCGGUCUCAGUUCGGAUUGAGGGCUGCAACUCGCCCUCAUGAAGUUGGAGUUGCUAGUAAUCCCGGAUCAGCAUGCCGGGGUGAAUGCGUUCCCGGGUCUUGUACACACCGCCCGU
rnacentral:rRNA from 1 species